rnacentral:lncRNA from 1 species
UAAGUUCUGAAUUUUCUUUGAUAAUAAUAUCUUUUUCUUUAACUAAUGUAUCAUACUUCCGGAGGUGAGUUUGGUUAGUUAGUUUUAAUUCUUUGUUUUUAAGGUUUAUUGUCUUGUACUCGUCCAUUAAUUCAUUGAAGGCAUCAUAUAGUUCAUCGAAAGUAAAAUCUAAAUGUGUUGCGGAUGUUACCUCAUUGUCGUUAGCCAUAAAACACAGAUUGGCCUUUUCUUCUUGUUCUUCAUCCGAUGAUGAUGAUGAUGUGUCGGAGUCCGAUAGGGUGGAGACGAGGACUUUCUUCUUCUUGUACUUGCUCCCCUUCUUCAGUAAAGGACACUCAGCUCUGAAGUGCCCUGGCUUCUUACACUCAUAACAUCCAAUCCCCUCAUUUUCUCUUUUCUUACCUUUAUCCUUGUGAUAGGAACUUGAGGGGCCUCUUCUUUGAUGUGAGGACUUCUUCC